GACGAACGCUGGCGGCGUGCUUAACACAUGCAAGUCGAACGGAAAGGCCCUGCUUUUGUGGGGUGCUCGAGUGGCGAACGGGUGAGUAACACGUGAGUAACCUGCCCUUGACUUUGGGAUAACUUCAGGAAACUGGGGCUAAUACCGGAUAGGAGCUCCUGCUGCAUGGUGGGGGUUGGAAAGUUUCGGCGGUUGGGGAUGGACUCGCGGCUUAUCAGCUUGUUGGCGGGGUAGUGGCUUACCAAGGCUUUGACGGGUAGCCGGCCUGAGAGGGUGACCGGCCACAUUGGGACUGAGAUACGGCCCAGACUCCUACGGGAGGCAGCAGUGGGGAAUAUUGCACAGUGGGCGGAAGCCUGAUGCAGCAACGCCGCGUGCGGGAUGACGGCCUUCGGGUUGUAAACCGCUUUCGCCUGUGACGAAGCGUGAGUGACGGUAAUGGGUAAAGAAGCACCGGCUAACUACGUG
rnacentral:rRNA from 1 species